GACGAACGCUGGCGGCGUGCUUAACACAUGCAAGUCGAACGGAAAGGCCCUUCUUUGGUGGGGUGCUCGAGUGGCGAACGGGUGAGUAACACGUGAGUAACCUGCCCUUGACUUUGGGAUAACUUCAGGAAACUGGUGCUAAUACCGGAGAGGAGCUCCUGCUGCAUGGGGGGGGGUGGAAAGUUUCGGCGGUUGGGGAUGUACUCGCGGCUUAUCAGCUUGUUGGUGGGGUAGUGGCUUACCAAGGCUUUGGCGGGUCGCCGGCCUGAGAGGGUGACCGGCAAAAUUGGGACUGGGAUACGGCCCAGCCUCCUACGGGAGGAAGAAGUGGGGAAUAUUGACAAAUGGGCGGAGGCCGAAUGCAGCACGGCCGCGGGCGGGAUAACGGCCUUCGGGUUGUAAACCGCUUUCGCCUGUGACGAAGCGUGAGUGACGGUAAUGGGUAAAGAAGCACCGGCUAACUACGUG
rnacentral:rRNA from 1 species